AAUAAGGAUAGAGGUGCGAGGCUCAAAAGUACACUAUUGGAGGAUAAUGAGAUCCAUAGAAAAUAGUGAAAAGGGUGCCUUGCCGAAGUUGUAGAGAACUCAUUACUUCUACAGCUGGUUCUGCUAUUGAACAAAUACAGGACUGUCAUAUAGGUAACUAUAUGGAGGGCUAUCUAGACG
rnacentral:ncRNA from 1 species